AGCUUUGCACAGUGGCAGUAUNGUAGCCAAUGAGGUUUAUCCAAGGUGGGAUUAUUGCUAAUUUUAAAAAAAGAGAGAAAUAAAUUACGUUGAACAUUCAAAUUAGUCAGGACU
rnacentral:snRNA from 1 species